rnacentral:rRNA from 1 species
CCUACGGGAGGCAGCAGUGGGGAAUAUUGCACAAUGGGGGAAACCCUGAUGCAGCGACGCCGCGUGAGUGAAGAAGUAUCUAGGUGUGUAAAGCUCUAUCAGCAGGGAAGAAAGAAAUGACGGUACCUGACUAAGAAGCCCCGGCUAACUACGUGCCAGCAGCCGCGGUAAUACGGAGGGGGCAAGCGUUAUCAGGAUUUACUGGGUGUAAAGGGAGCGUAGACGGGGAUGCAAGUCUGAAGUGAAAGGCGGGGGCCCAACCCCCGGACUGCUUUGGAAACUGUAUGGCUGGAGUGCAGGAGAGGUAAGUGGAAUUCCUAGUGUAGCGGUGAAAUGCGUAGAUAUUAGGAGGAACACCAGUUGCGAAGGCGGCUUACUGGACUGUAACUGACGUUGAGGCUCGAAAGCGUGGGGAGCAAACAGGAUUAGAUACCCCUGUAGUC